CAGUCGCCACGGGAAUACGGAGGGUGCAAGCGUUAAUCGGAAUUACUGGGCGUAAAGCGCACGCAGGCGGUCUGUCAAGUCAGAUGUGAAAUCCCCGGGCUUAACCUGGGAACUGCAUUUGAAACUGGCAGGCUAGAGUCUUGUAGAGGGGGGUAGAAUUCCAGGUGUAGCGGUGAAAUGCGUAGAGAUCUGGAGGAAUACCGGUGGCGAAGGCGGCCCCCUGGACAAAGACUGACGCUCAGGUGCGAAAGCGUGGGGAGCAAACAGGAUUAGAUACCCGUGUAGUCCUUGUCUCUUAUAA
rnacentral:rRNA from 1 species